CUACGGGGCGCACCAGUAAGGGAUAUUGCGACAAUGGGCGAAAGCCUGACGCAGCAACGCCGCGUGCGGGAUGACGGCCUUCGGGUUGUAAACCGCUUUUCUGAGUGAAGAGGAAGGACGGUAACUCAGGAAUAAGUCUCGGCUAACUACGUGGCCAGCAGCCGCGGUAAAACGUAGGAGGCGAGGCGUUAUCCGGAUUUACUGGGUGUAAAGCGCGUGCAGGCGGAUGCGUAAGUCGUGCGUGAAAGCGCUCUGGCUCAACCGGGCGAGGACGUGCGAAACUGCGUAACUAGAGGUAGGUAGAGGCGUGUGGAAUUCCGGGUGUAGUGGUGAAAUGCGUAGAUAUCCGGAGGAACACCAGUGGCGAAGGCGACACGCUGGGCCUGACCUGACGCUAAGACGCGAAAGCAUGGGUAGCGAACGGGAUUAGAUACCCGAGUAGUC
rnacentral:rRNA from 1 species